GAAGCGCCGGUGUUGAGACCGAAAAUGUAAGGUUUUCUCUUAUUCUCACCAUCUUUUAUAUAUAUCACUUGACGUGUAUAUCAAGCUAAUAUGUUAUGAGAUGUGGCUUGUGAAUGCAAACUAGGGUUCUUCUUUCUUGGUUCUUGUGGGUUUUGUUUAAUGUAUGUUCUUUGUGAGAUGGCCGCGUUAGAACAUGUUACGCGGCCAACAAAGAGGUUAAAGUGGGUCGGGUUGAUCAGAUAUGUCUUGUUUAUUACGCUCUUUCUCUAGUUAGGUUUUGCCCAACCCGACCAGAGAUAAACUUUUAGGAGACUCGAGGUGCUUUAAUGGAGGAUAGUAAGUUAGUUUCCACCACUGAUAUAUGCAAUGGAUAGAGUCCAAAAGCUAUUUUCCUCCAUUGUUUUAAUUAGAGACUUCUUUGUUUAGAUCAAUGACCAUACCAAUAAAAGAGUUUUAGACGUAAUCUUAGUAUAUCUCAAUCAUGUCAAACUUUCAAAACUUUUUUACAAUUUUUGAAACAAUAUGGUAUGUGAGUUUCUAUUUUUAAAUAUUGAAUUCAUGCUGUAAUCUUUUUAAUAUCUCUAACCAUAUGCUAAACAUAGCUGUUCAAGUAAUCUUUUCCUCCAUGUAUUCUCUUACUACUUCUGCUUCUCUUUCAGACAGAACAACAAAGAACGAGAAAACACCAACAUCAGUGACCUCAUUGCGUAGAAGACAAGCCAGACAAAACGAUAAAAUAGAAAGCGAAGAAGAGCCUUUACUCAAAGCUGCAUUCAUCUUUUCCUCUUUAUUUGUGCUUAGAUACUUAUAGAAUAUCUUUUUUUUGUCAAAACUUAUAGAAUAUCUAUGUAAUGGAAUUGCUGUAAAUUCCUAAUAAGAAUCGGAUCCAAAGAAUAUUAGGAUGUUCUGUCUACUCAAGCUGAAUAUUAACCUGUUAUGUGAUACUCCAAGGAAUAUGAUGUAAAGGUUUAGCAUGGUAAGUAUUUGGUUACCACUUUUGAAUAGGAAGGAAUCUUGAUAAAAGAUAACCCAUCCAGGUUUAAAAAAGAAAAUGCAAUAAGAUACUUUUGUUCUAUAAUAGCCUCAUAUUUGAACCACCUACUCAUUUAUAAAUACAGAAACUCUUCAUCAUGUGGCUAAAAGUAUUUACUAGACUUAUCAUUGUGAUGAUCACCAAACAAGAACAAGAAAAAACUGUAAAAAAAAAAACAAUAGAAUUGAAAUAUAAAUAUAUACCGUUACACAUUAAAUACAAAAACUCCUAAGCAUUGGACUAAUCAUUGUGAUAAUCAUAAAACAAGAACAAGAAAAAAGCAGUAAGAAACAAAAAUAAUAAUAAUGGAGACGUGUUGAAAUCUGUACCGUUACUUUGCUUUAAAUUUUUAAUUUUAAAUGAAUAAAGCAGGUGUGAACCUUACAGAGUGCUCUGUGUUUGACUCUGAGACCGCGAUGACCACCUCUCUGCUCUAAUGUCUUUACUGUAAUUACUAAUUAUAUAAAAUUUGUUUACACAACUUUAGCUUUUGUCUGUUUGAAGAUUAUGAUCUUUUUGUGUAUUUUAAAAUGUGUGUAAUGGGUGUGGUGGUGGAGGGAAUUUUUAAGUAAAAAGAAAAGUCCAACUCUACCCCACCCACAAAGUGGAGAAAGCAAAAGUCAUAACCUUUGACACCUUUCUCAACCCAUCUCUAUCUAUCUCACAAACCAACAAACAACACAGGAACAAUAUCUCUCUUUUAUUUUAAUGUCCUAAUCUCCCCUGGGUGAUUUCUUCUUAGCUCAUUAUCUAAUUUUGAUCUUCAGGGUUUCUUGUCAUGCAAUUCUUUGUGUAGUUUUCCUUCUUAUGAGCUAACCUUGUAUAGACAAAAGAUCUCACCUUUUUGCUCUUGAAUUGAGAGAGUUUCUAUAUUUACUCAGUGCUCUUCCUGUGAAGUGAUUUGGAAAGAUUCAGCCAGUUGAGGAAGGAACUUAUGGUGAUUGGGGUUUCUCAUAGAGUGUUGAGGUGUUGAAGUUCUUGAUUUGGUCUAAUUAGCUUUAAAUGUUACAUUCUUUUUCAUGACUGAUCGGUUUAUUAGAUUCAUUAGGAUUUUGAGUUUUGAUAUUUUAUUCUCUUGGCUCUCUAGUUAGAUUUUUAGUGUUGUGAACUGAGGAAUCAGGGUUUUAUUGUUCUAUCAUCUUAAGCUUGGGUGGAAUAAUAUAAAAUAAAAAUGGAGGAAGUUGAAGCUGCUAGCAAGUUAGCUAUAGAAAGCUGUCAUGGAGUCUUAACCCUCUUGUCACAACAGCAAACCAGUUGUGAUUCCAAAUCUCUAAUGGUUGAAACAAGAGAAGUAGUUUCCAAGCUCAAGAGAGUAGCCUCUCUUUUAACCAAAGGGUCAGGUCAUGGAAAGUUUAGAAGAACCAACAACAACAAGUUUAGUCCAUCUUUUCCUCAGCAUAUCUUCUUGGAGAGCCCUAUUUGCUGUGGCAAUGAUGAGAGUAGUGAUUACACUCAAGUUCUUGCACCUGAGCCUCUUCAGAUGGUUCCAGCUUCUGAUGAGAUUGACCCAAGAUACCAAUUGGGUCACCCACUUAGCCACAGAUGGCCACCGCCUUUUCGAGCUCCUUAUCAGAAAAUAGCUUACUCUAGAAGCAACAGCGGUGGUGUAAACCUAACGUUUGAUGGGUCUGCUAGUAGUUGCUAUACCCCGAGUGUAUCAAACGGAUCAAGAUCUUUUGUAUCAUCUCUUAGUAUGGAUACUAGUGUCGAUAGGAGCUCGUUCCAGUUAACCGGAUUAUCACGUGGGAAGAUGUGCUCUGGUAGUUUGAAAUGCGGAAGUAGAAGCAAAUGUCACUGUUCCAAGAAGAGGUUCGUCAAUGUUCUUUGUGACAAUGUGAUAUCAGUUAACUGUUUUGUAACGGUUUUGAGUUUAUUUACAGGAAACUAAGAGUGAAAAGAUCAAUCAAGGUGCCUGCAAUAAGCAACAAGAUUGCGGAUAUUCCUCCAGACGAGUAUUCAUGGAGGAAGUAUGGUCAGAAACCUAUCAAAGGCUCACCGCAUCCACGGUAUUUAUAUAUAUUCAUCUUUUUUUUUGGUGUCUAUAUACUCAUUUGAUUCAUGUGCAGGGGAUACUACAAGUGCAGCAGUGUGAGAGGUUGUCCUGCAAGGAAGCAUGUGGAGCGAUGUGUAGAUGAGACUUCGAUGUUAAUUGUGACUUACGAAGGUGAGCAUAACCAUUCAAGGAUAUUGUCUUCGCAAUCAGCUCACACAUGAUGGAAUCAGAGUCAGUCACUGCCUGUCCUUUUUGCUGUCUACUCUUGGAUUUGAAGAAGAAUGAUUUUGGAUUCAAGAAACUGGUCUUAGUAGUGUUGUUAGCUGUGGUUUGCAAUUGUAUAUUCCACUUUGACAUGAGUUGUAAGAGCUUUUUGUGAACUUGGAUUAUGUGGCAAUACCGACAAGCAUCAACAAUUUGGCUUCAGCUUAGCAUUUUCUUACUUAACCAAAUAAGCUUAAUUUUUAGUAUAGGUAGGAGGUGGUUGUUGGAGAUAAUCACAAAGUUAACUUGGCGAACAAGUUACACUAAUCCUAAUCGAGAUAUGUUUAGGAUAGUUAGUUUUUAUGAGUUUAGGAAAUUUAAAGUCUCUAUACAAGAAGAUGCAAGAGUUUUAGAGAUUGUGUUUUGGAGUGAUUAAGUUUUGAGUUAUUUUCUUAAGCUAAUAAAAAGAGUUCUUUAUUGUGAUCAUAUACAAUUUUUGAGACUAUAUUUGGUAUCAGAGUGCAAGAUAAGUUAAAAGCCUUACGAUGGGAGGAUCUUUGUGUCCGCAUAAUGUUCGCUGUUAGGAGGAGACGAGUGUGUGCAAGUUUGGGACCUUGAGUAGUAGCUUGGUAAACAACACACAUGAUAGCUUGCUCCUGUUUAAUCUCAAAAGCUGUCAAGUACAAAGAAGGGCUCUUCAUCAGAUUACUUCUUCUUUAACGUUUUGUGUCUGUGGUUAGAGAGAUUACAUGUAUUGUUCACAUAAUAGCCUAAAUUAUGUAAGAGUUGAAGCUGGACACUUCAUCUGUAACAAACGACAAGUUUUUUUCUCAUUUAAAAAAAAAGUUGUUACGACUUGAGGAAUUAACAAUGAACAGCCAAAGACAUGUCCCAAAAUAUCCAAGUUCCAUGUUCUGCAACAAGAAGGCCAUUCAUUUUAAGACAAACCAUUACAUACUACAAGAACACUUGGACUCACAAAAUGAAGACCAAACUUUGCUUUGUCAUUCCGUUUCUAACUCUCAUUGCGUUUCCUCUGGUGUGAUCACGAGCUUAUAUGAUUUUUUUUUUUUUUUCACUCCGUCUUCAGAGGUUGGAGAGAUUAAGAAGACCGAGUGAUUAAAGAAGGCCCACGGUUUAGGUUGUGAAUUUUGGAUGGAGGGCGGCUAAGAUAAGAUAACUUAAUUUAAAGAAACUAUCUCUAAGAAACUCGUUAAACUACGAUUAUACCCUUUUCAUUACAACCUGUAUAAAUUAAGAAGAAACACGGAACUGACAGAAAAGCAAAGAGACAGCAAUUAUGGGUUGUCGGAAAGCAUUUUUGCUUCUAUACUUUCUAUUUUUAGUCCAUAUCCACCACAACCACUCUUUUCACGCGAUCUCCGCUGCUCCAAACCAUGAAUCGAAGCCGGACGGUGAAGCUUUCAUUGGCAAAACCGCGGAAUUAUCUAUCGUUGUUAAAAAGGGUGGUGGAGGCGGCAGAGGCGGCGGAGGUGGUGGUGGACGUAGUUUUGGUGGAGGCGGACGCAGUUUCGGUGGAGGUGGAGGUGGAGGCCGCAAAGGUGGAAGAGGAGUGGUUCCGUUAGUUGGAGGUGGUGCUGCUGCUUCCCACCACCGUGGCAACCAUUCAAGCGGUGGUCGGGAAAGUGCUAGCGUUUGGUUUGGUUUAUUGACUUUACUCGGUUUGGUUUUGGGUUUUUAGGGUUUACUUAUUUUGAUUGCCGGUUUAGGUUAAAUGUUUGAUGUCGGUUUUGCUUGCUACUGGUUUGCUCUCUGGAUAUAAACACCACUCGGUUUGGUUUUGGUUUUUAGGAUUUUUUUUUUUAAUUUUGAUUGCCGGUUUAGGGUUAAAUGUUUGGUGCCGGUUUUGCUUUCCACUGUGGUUUGCUCUUUGGAUAAAAUUUCUCUUAACCGGAACUUAAUCCAUCAAUAAUCGAUUGUAAAAUAUUUUGUUUGAUUACACAUCCAAAAAAGCUCAAAAUGAUACAAAUUUUCAACAUUAGGAGUUUUCUUCAACAAUCAACAUCAAAGUUUCACGUUACAAAUAAAAAACCGAGAAAGACGGUUACAUUGUGAACCAACCAACAUAUACCGGAUAUAACCGAAAAAAACAAAGAGUCUUUGUUUUGAAUUUUAAAUUUUCUCCAGUGAGAUAUCAAAGUUAAACACAGACCAACAACAACACAAAGGCAUCAAUCAUCGUCAUUUCAAGCCUCGCAAGCUUCUUCCACGGACUCGUUGAGUGGUUUAAGCCCACUUUUACCCUUGCCUGAUCUGGAACGAGGGCUGUCGUGCACAUCAUUGGUGUUCUUGUUCUGAACUGUUCCCGUGCUGUGUCGGUUCCGGUUAGAUGCUGUCUUCGGAACCUCUUCACGGGACGAGGACGAGCUGACUGCGUCGCUGCAGCUCUUUCUCCGAGAAAGGAUGAGUUUUGGCGACUUGGGACGAGUCAAAGGCACCUAGAAAGAUACAUAACAUUAAGCUACAUUCGUCACAAGAACAAAGAUACAUAACAUAAGCUACUUUUGUCACAAGAACAAUGCUGAGCUCCAAACAUGACGAGUUAAAUAUACCUUCUUGAGUUCAGGUUUGGCAGGAGGCGCCUCGUAGUAGAAGUUGGGGACUGGUUUAGCCUUGAACUUGAGAUUUUUUCUAAGUUUUUUCAAGGCUGCUUCUUGUUCUUCCUGCAAAAAACAUUGAAUUUACCAUUUAGAUUUAGAAAAGACUGCAUCAACUAUAUGGAUUUUUACCUUUUGCCUUUGUUCAAGCUCGUUCCUUUCAGCUUCAAGCGCUUGGUUUUUCUCCUCAAGCUUUUGGUAAUACUAAACCACACAAGAAAAGAUCAAUUAAUAAACAUUAAAAAGUAGACUUUAUAUCAGUGAGUGCAAAGGUGGAAGAUUUAUAGUUACCUCUUUGCGCUGCUCAGCACGCUGAGCACUCCUAAACGUUGGAGCGCUUCCAUGAGUCACUCCGGACUUAGCCCUCCUCAAGGAAGUUGCCACGCUGUUAGUUAAUAUCGUUAAGGAACAUUAUCGAUUUUGUCAAGUAUACAUACAAAGACAAGAUAAUGAUUAAGUGAUAGAGUCAAGUAAAGGAUACGAAGAAGCAAUGGAGACAUUAUCAUCUUCAUCUACAUGCUUCUUGUUCUCUGGUUGCAAGGGCUUCCUCACGGGGAGAAGAGGAGCAUCACGCUGCAGAUAGAACAUUGAACAAACAGGUAAAGUCACAUCAUUUACACAUCUCAAACUACUUACAAAACAUAACGUUUGUCUUAAUUCUGAAAUGAGUUUUUACCUUUGAAACUUUAGGAGUUUUAGGCGAGCUUUGAGCUCCAGUUCUCUCGGCAGUUUCCACUUUUGGUUUAUUCUCUUCGGUGCAUUCCUUGACUUCGAUCUCUUCCUCAGUCUCAGACUCCGCAGCUGCAGCUAUCUUAGGAGCAACGUGAACCCUACCGCUUGAAACGCCGGCGUUUCGGUCCAUAAGCACCUCAACAACAACCUCUCUUCCCAUUCCACUACGGAACACAAAACCAAAGAGUCUCUCUUUUAGACAGAUUCUCAAAAACACAAUUCAAUUAUGAAAGAUCUCAAUCUUUAUAAAGGUUACAGCUUUGUCAAAGUUAGAUUGGUAAGGAACAAGGAUUGGUUCAAAGAGAUAGAGAGAGGGUCGCAGAAGAACAAUUCAAAAGUGGAAACCAACACGCAUUAACAAACCCAGAUGGAGAAAUAGUCAAAAAGAAAUAUUUUUAAAAUGUGAAUUUGAAAUCCAGGCGAUAGAGGAGGAGAUUCUUAAGGUUUUGUGAACAAUUUUAUAGAAAAGAAUCAGACUUUCAAGGAAGAACAGGGUGACAAAAAAAAUUGUGUUCUUACGAGUCUUGUAUAGGACCGGGGAGGGAUUCUUGUGCACCACCUCUGUCUCCGAACGCCCGUGAGAAUUUUGCAGACAAAAUUUGAAAUGAAUGUCUUUAUCCAGACCAAACUUGUCUCCCUCUCUUUCUCUCUCAAGAAAAAGAAGAAUUUUUAUUGGGUGGUGACUAUUUUGGAGAUGUGUUUGAUUUGUUAAGCUGUUUGGUUAUUUAUUGGUUCGAAAUUCAUUUAUUUUUAUUAUAAAAAAAUGAAUUUUGGCGCUUUACAUCACUUUGAUAAUUAGUUUCUAUAUACUCCAUAAGAUUCAUUCAUUUUCAUGCCAAUAUUUGAAGAAAUAUAUAUUCACCCUAAAUAUUGAAAAGCUCUUAGUUUAUUGAAAUAAAUAAAUAAAACCUACCUCUGUUGAUUAGUUUCAUUUUUUUUAAAUGUAUAGUUAGUAGUAGUAUACACAUUCUCUAUACUUAUCUUGAUAUAAAAGUUUAAUUACUAUAUUAUUUCUUUAAUUUCUUAAGUUUAAUUUUCUUUUAAGGAUAUCUAAUAAAGUUGUGACUUGACAAAAAUAAAAAUUGAUGACUAAUUGUCUAGAAGUAUAUUUACUAAAUCUAAAUAAUUAUCCUAAUCUAGAUGUACUAGCUUGAAUCCAGAUGUGUAGUCUUCUUAGUAAUCAGAUCCACUAUAAGCAACUUCUAACAACCAAAUGAAAAGGAAAUUCAAACUAAUCAUACAAUAACUAUCACGGCUUUGAAGCCACAAGACGGAAUAAAUACCAAUGUGACAAUGUUACUCGUUUAAAAAAAAUGUUUCCUGUCCUUCAGUUCAAACUUCAAGAGUAGUCCAUACUUUCCCUCGUUGCUUAGUUUAAAUUCUGCAGCUUUGUUAAAGUGCUGAGGUUGAAUACAGUAUGGCGUCUACCAUUGUACCUCGUAGACCAUACAAUUUGUUCUUAGACUUUUAGUAUACACAUGUAUGCGUAUACAUGUUCUUAUGAUCUAAUCAUUUCAAUUGUUUAUAACUCAUUUGGAAGCUAACAAUAUAUUAUAUAUGUAUAACAAUUCUGUAUAUUUGUUUCCUGGUUGUCAAUUCCAUAUCUUUGUAAUCUCUUUUCUAAAGCAAAUUACUUGAUACCACGCAUAUGAAGAGUGACCAACGAAACUGAAGUUUGUAACAGUAGUUUGUGAGAGUAGUAAUCUCUCUUCAAAAGCAAAUUACGUUCUUAAUGUAUUUUGCAGUGUUUGCCUUUUGUGAAAAAUAUGUUCUGUAAAAAAUAUGUUUUAUAAUCUAUUUCAAAGUUCAAACAAUGGACUUUUGAUUUCCGACAAAGUAGCUUUGAUGUAUCCGACAGAGACUAAAGUUAAUUUGAAUUAAUACUUAUUAUGUUGCUUCAAAUGCCAAAAAAAAAAAAAAACUUAUCUUUACUUUAUACUAAAUAACGAACAAAAAGAGUAGAGAAAAAUUUAGAAAAUGAUGCAAAUCUCAUUUUAAAAUCAUGUCAUAUCAAAUAAUAUGAAACAAACAAAAAACCACUAAAAUAUUUUGAAAACGGAUUAACAGUUGACUAACUUCAUUUAGUUUUUUUUUGUAACAAAUAAAAUUGUAAGAAGGAUGAGAAGAUGCGAAAAUUAAGUAAACAUCAAAGACCACUUUGUGCUAGGGAAGAAUCACUAAAGUGGGUAAGUAAGGAUGAGAAGAUGCGUCAAUGCGAUCAGAGGCAUUCACUAUCCACAUUAUCCAUAGUUCAUGCAUUUAACACAUAUAGAAGACUCACGGGUGAACCUGUAGUGUUAUUGGAGAGUGAAACAUCGAACAUGAUGAUUUCUCACUGGGUCCAGCACACACGAGGGUGCAUCUCUAUCUUUAUCUAGGGUUGGUGUUUUUCAGCCAACGUGGACCCGUUUAUUUCCUCGACCUCACCUUCACAGGAAUUUAUAUGAGGGAGGGAUAUCUCAGUAACGUUUUUCUUACGUAUUUGAUCAUUUAUUAGUAGAGUGUAAUCUAAAUUGAGUAAAAUAAGAGCUAAUUAAAAAUACUAUUACAUGCAUAUAGCGAGACAGUAUCCGUAUUCAAAUCAUUCUACAUGCUUUUUUGGCGACUUUUUGGUGAAAAUGUUAGUAACAAAUAAAUGUAAAAGUUAAAUUUAUUGCUAAACAAGCUUAAAAACCAUAAUAUUUUUGUACGAUAUAAAUUAGAGAAAAUUAUUGAUUUGGAUAAGAGAAGGAAUGGGUAUAUAUAGAUUGAAGAAGAAGAGAAAAAAAAAACGAUUUUUGAUGGAACUUAAACAAAUGAAACAAUCUAUUUUUGCGUUUGUUCCAUUUAUAUCAAUUAAAGUAAAAUUUAUUAUUUAUGUUUACUAUACAAAACUAUCAUUUAAUAGUAUUUAAUCAAUUUAGUUAUUUCAAUUAAGUUUUUAAAUUAUACAAAACUGUCUUAAAAAUAUUAAAAAUAUAUUUUUGUAGAACAAAUUUUUUUUAGAAAAUCUUACAUUUAAGAAUGGAGACAGAUCUAUUUUCACCACCAUUUUUCAAAAAAAAAAGUUUUAUUUUUAUUUUUAAACUAGUGUUUAAUUAUAUAUUUUUAGAAUCUGAGACUAGUGUUCUAAAAAUCGGUAUGGAUGGCGCAUAGGCAUCCCCUUAGUCAGCAAAUCAAACUUAAAUGUAAUGAUUUCUUAAAUGAUUUUUUUUUUAAAAUCAGUGUAAGUAUCCAUCUAAUCAGUAAUCUCAUACAAAAUAUUUAACUACCGCCUAACAAUUUCUUGAACAUUGGCCGAGAACAAUAACCCGAGCCACACAUUGUUAUAGAUUGUUUAUUAAGAAAAACUGAAAUCGAAAAUCCAUAUAGUUUAUGCAGACUAUAUGGCAAUGAAGAUCAACAUUUAUCAUUAGUUAAUUCAUUUUCAUCAAAGGUAGAACAAACAGAAAAAAUUUCAUCGAUUAUAAAAUUAAUUUUAUUGAUUGAUGCAGUUACAUGAAUUUAUUGAUGUAUUUUUUUUUUUUAGAUUUAGACAUGCAAUCGUCUAAUACAACUAGAUAUUGAUUGUUGGAGGACCUGGCGGAACAUGUCUACAUCUUCCCUCUGGGGGACAUCCCGGUUUGUACGGAUUUACUGGUUCCGGGGGUGGACACGUGCCAGGACUACAGCCAGGGGGACGAUCGCCACCACGUAUUGGUGGAUAUCCAAUAAAUUUUCCAGCUGCUGGGUUGCUGAUCAUAAACACACAUGCUGCUAUGAGUAUUGCAACGACCAUAACCCUAUUUGUUCCUUUUAGAUUGCUCAUGAUUUGUGUCAAAAUUAAAUGUUUACAGAAUAGCUUAUUAAGUGUUGUGCUAGUUGGUAUGAAGAGGGUUUUUAUAGUGUGUAUUUUUUUUGAAAAACAUAUCUAUCUAUAUAUGUUACUAUUUAAGAAUUUGCUUAUUUGUCAUUUUUUUCAUGAUUUUUAGAUAAAUCAUUAAUUUAAUUAUAUAUUUUUAUUUUGAUAUCUAUAUAUAUUUAUCAUGAUAUCUAAGAUAAUUAAUAAACAUUAACAUAUUCUAACAGUAUAUAUACUAUUAUUUAUAAAUAUAUAUAUACUUGUCAUCUUUUCUAUGAUCUUAGGAUAAAUCACUAAUUUAAUUAAUUUUUUUUUUGAUAUCUAUAUAUAUAUAUAUUUAUCAUAAUAUUUAAGAUAAUUAAUAAACAUUAACAUAUUCUAACAAUAUAUAUACUAUUAUUUAUAUAUAUAUAUAUAUUUAAUAUACUUAUCAUGAUAUUAAAUAAAAUUAAUUUAUAAAUAGAUAUUAACAAUAUCUACCUAUAAUAUCAUCUUUACUUAUAUCUUAUAUUUAGUUUAAAAUUUUAAUUACUAAUAUUACUAAUAUUAUAGCCAAUUUCUAUGAUUUUUAUCAAAAAUAUUGAUCAAAUACAAAUUAUUUGUUUAUUCAGUUUGAUCGCUUAAUAAACCAAUUAAACCUUUAUAUAGUAUAUAAGUAUACUAAUAUAUCUCAAUUAAUCGGUUUUAUUGGUUUAUUCGGUUUGACCGCUUAAUAUAUUGAACCAUAUUCAUAUACUACAGUUUCUUAAAAAUAACAUUCAUUCGGUUUAUUCGGAUCUGAACGUCAAAACGUUACUUUUGUAUAUAAUUAAGGAGUUAUGUAAUGGAAAAUUUACACAUUUUGAAAAAACAAGAUUACAGAUAAAGAGUGGUAUGAGUAAUUACGAUUUAUCGUAUAGUGUUGUACUUGCCAUUUGUUACAUUGCCAAUUGUUAGUUCUUUUUACUCUUAUAAAUGUGUAAAUUUUCCAUUACAUAAGUCCUUAAUUAUAUACAAAAGUACUCUUGUUGGUUAGUCCGUCCGGACUUACGACUAUUGGAUUUAAUUAAGACCAGUAUUAUGAAAUAUCGCAUUCAUUUGAUUCAACAUUAGAAGAUGUUGUUAGAGCGCAAAUUAUAAAACCGUGGACACCACUUGUAUUUUUCUUUCUUCAAAUCAAAUUCAGUCAUCUAAAAUAGUUCAGCGAACGGAGAUCAAGAACCAGAUCCUAGAGCUCUAACUAAAAACUUCAAACUAAAGCUUUAUAAUCUAGACAAAGUACUUAUCUUGACAAUCUGGGUAAAAAAUAUCACUGAGUUGUUUUUCUUACUUCUUCAGACGUUACAUGAAACUAGCUUUUACCAUUAAAAAUGGAUUAAUUGACUACUUUAUUUUGUUCUUGUUAAAAAAAAUUCAAGAGUUCAGGUUAGGAUGGGAAGAUGUUGCGGCGUCAAGGCGAUCAAAGCAAGGCACUCACUAUCCACAUUAUCCAAUAGCUCAUGCAUUUAAUACCUACAGAAGUCACACGGAUGAAACACCGAACAUGAUUUCUCACUGGGGUCCAGCCCACACGAGGGUGCAUCUCUAUCUCUUUUUUUUUUAUCUAGGGUUGAUGUUUUCGGCCAACGUGGACCCGUUUAUUUCCUCGAACACACACCUCUACUCUACAAGAAUAUAUAAACAGUAAGGAUCAACUAGCCAAAUGAAAUUUGGCUUAGCAAUUGACAAAUUAAAACACGGGUAUGGAGUUUAAUUUUUGGAAUGUUUUCCGGUGUUUUCGAGUUAUUUAAAGUAUUUUGUAAUUUAUGGCUUCUUGUCACUGAAAUACUAUUGUGCUAGUUAUGCAAUAAUAUUAGCUUAAUUUAAAUUAACAUGGUUUUCAGUAUACCAUAUAUAUAGGCAUCAGUUUUCUCACAGAAAAAUGCUUAUCGAACGUUUUAUUUAUCUGGGUCUUGACUGAUAAUUAGUGGAAUAAAAAAGUGGAAAUGAAAAUGUGAAAAUGAAAAUGUGAAAAUGAAAAGAAAGAAAACUGUCAAAUGAAACGUAACAUUUUCAUCUAACAAAAAUUGAAGGAACAUUUACCUCUAUUUUUUCACUUUGUUAUAGUAAAUGAGCUGAAAUGUUUCCACUUGAUUGAAUAAAAUCGGAAGAAACAGGCUGAAGUAAAAUUUCACUUACUUUACUUUACACUAAUGAUGUCAUACAGCCAGAAUAAAUGUUUUCUUACAUAUUCCAGAAGAAACAGGUUUUCUUACAUAUUCCAUUAUUUAUUAAUUAGUAGAGUGUAAUGUAACUAAAUCAAGUAACAUAAGUUAAUAAAAAGACCAUUACGUAUAACGAGUCACUAUGUGGAUUCAAAUAUUUCUAUGUUAUUAACAAAAUAAAUGUCAAUUCUAAAAUUAUUUAUAAACAAGCUUAAAAACCAGAAAAUUUGAACGAUACAAAUUAUUGAAGUAUUACGUGUUGUAUGAAUUUCAUCUAUUUAUUUUUCAUUUUUAAUAUUUAUAAUAUUCAUAAGAAAUGGUACGUUGGGAGUAUUUUUUUUGUUUAAUAAAUUUUACUUAUUGCAUAUAUUUAUAUAACCACGUAUAUAUGUAUAUAGUACUUUCCCUCUAGAUCAAGAUGAAGUCAUUGUCAAAUUGACUUUCAAUUUUUAGGUCAGAUUCUUCAAUUGUAAUCAUGCAUGGGCAUGAUGAUGUUUAGCAAUUAACGAUGUUGAUGAUCAUUAUAUGCUUUUAUAAUUUGAAUGAGAAAUUGUUUUAUAAUCAAGCUAAUAUUAUUGUGCCCCUUCUUGAUUGUACUAAUAACCAUAUUUUAACCACCCCCUCCCAAAAAAAAAAAUUGACGACAUGGGUGUAUGACAUGUUUUCGUCAUAUCACAUGGUUGGCCAUUUAAUAUAUAUAUAGCAAAAAUAAACUUGGAAUUUCUAUGUGAUUUUGAAGGCUUUUUUCCUGUUUUCGUAAUCGGGUGUGGUAAAACACGAGUACAUUUUUUGUGUUAACUUAUGUCGAGAGAUUUAAACGUGAUGUGCACAUUUCAAAACCGUUUUAAUCUAAACACUGUAAAGAAACCAUAUAUAAUACCACUAUCACACUACGGUAUUUAAAUGUUUGCGACAAAAUAACGACUGAUGUCUGAUGAGAAACUGAAGUUUUCUUAUCGACUAAUCCCCGAAACAGUGAAGUUUAAAGAGUUUAUAUAUGUUUCCCUAUAAGAUUGUACAAUGUUGUAGAAAUAAAGUGUCUAGCUUUCGUUCUCUCAACCAAUUAAUCGGUUCCAUAGACAUUUCGCCUAGAAACAGAGGUUCCUAAUAUCAUUUGCCGUCAUUUUCUACGUGUUUGUUCUGUAUUUUCAUAAAUGGUCAACUGUCUAGCCUAUUGUACUGUGUAGUUACUCAUGUUUAAUAUAGCACUAGAUUUAUCCCAACAUUAUAUCAUAUCCUAAGCAUCGAUCAGAAGGGAAUGUUUGCUUAUUACAUACAUAGUGCAAGUAAUCUGAAACGGGUAAAUGAAUAUUCACAUUUACAUGAAUAAAUAUACCUUAAUCUCUAGUUUUCCUUUUGACUUCACAGUAGUUAACAAACAAGACAGAAGCACAUGGAGGAACCAUACUACGAAAACGCUAUGGUAGACCAAGACUUUAGUUUAAUAAAUUCCUUAAAUUUUAUUUAUUUCAAUUAUUUUUGUCGGCAUUAUUAUAUCAAAAUUAUUAAUUUACAUUAAAAUAAGGCAAGCAUAUCACUUGUGAAUGGCGGGCCCCAUAAGAAAGACAACGAAUCCAUGGAAUCAAAACACAUGUUUGAAGCUGACAACUUUCCCAUCUAUGGGUCCCAUACUGUCUUAGCUGUCAUUUUAUUCUAAUUUUAAUUUAAAUAGAUAUAAAAAAUCCGACAAAACAACACUCUUUUGUUAAUAUUAUUGGUUUAUCUUUUCUUCUGUAGUUGACAAAAAAAAAUCUUUUCUUCUGUAUUGUUUCAAUAAGUUUGAUUGCAUUUUAUAAACUAAAUGUAUAAUUUAAAACGGAUUAGUUAAAGCACUAAAUGAGAGAAAUACAAAAUAAAAUAAAAACCUAAAAAUAUGGAACAGAAAGAAGAAAAACUGCACCAACUUGGCCUUUGUCCACUGGCUUGGAUUAUUCCGGUAAUGUGACGCCAUUCAUGACAUCAUUAUCUCUCGACAACACUCUUUACGGUCCAACCAAUCCCAGCAUUCACGUGGCAGCAUCUCACCCGUUCAAACAAUAAUCCACAACAAUGAAUUCGAUUAUAUUUUAUACCCACACGAUCCAAUAUUUAGCCCUUUGUUUCAAACACAUCUCACAUCCUUCUGUCUCUCUCUCCUCAAACGUUUUAGUAUUUGAAAGAAUAAAUCAAAAGAACCAAAAAAACCUAGAAACAAGACAAUCUUUGUUCUCAUCUCGUUUUCUGCUCACCUAAUUUAUUACUUAUUGCUAAUCAGUAUCAAGCAAGAUGAUCAAUUUUGAGGCGACGGAGCUGAGGUUAGGGCUGCCGGGUGGCAAUCACGGAGGAGACAUGGCCAUGAAAAAUAAUGGGAAACGAGGAUUUUCUGAGACCGUUGAUCUCAAACUGAAUCUUUCAUCCACGGCUUUGGAUUCGGUUUCCGGAGUUGAUUUAGAGAAUAUGAAGGAGAAGGUCGUAAAACCACCAGCCAAGUACGAAACUAAACUUUUAUCUAUAUUCCUAUUAAUGUGUAUUCACGAUCCUCUAAAGUAGAAGUAGUGAUAUAUAUGAAUGUAUUGAAAUAAUUAGAUUAUCUGUGAACAGAUUAGGAAAUAGAUAACACGAGCCGGUUAUGGGUUAUCUGAGAUAGGCUUUAACACGCUGAAUGAUUACGCUAAUUAGAGCAGCUAUGCAAAUUAUUCUCUAGAGAUCUGUCAUUUUUUUAGUUUUGCUCCAUGUUUUCAACAGUUUUCACAUAAUAUUAUUUAAAUGUGUGAUUAAUAAUAGCCAAUAAUAAAGCUAGGUUGAUGAGUGUAAUGUUUGAAGGUUUGGUCGGGAAGAAUGAAGAAAAAUACAAAACAUAAGGAAUCUUUACUUUAUCUACGUAAACUAAAUUAAUAUUUGGACAACUACAUCCACCUAACAUCCGACACGUGUUAAGCAACUAGAUGAUUUUACAUACUUUUUAUUAAAUACGCUAAUUAAUUUAUUUUUUUGUUCAAAAAUACGCUAAUUAAUAUAAUUGAAAUUAUCAACUAAAAAUAAUUACGGAAUUUCAGGGCACAAGUUGUGGGAUGGCCACCGGUACGAUCUUUCCGGAAGAACGUCAUGUCAGGCCAAAAGCCAACCGCUGGAGAUGCCACCGAAGGAACGGAAAAGACUUCCAGCAGCAACGGAGCCACCUCCUCUGCCGCAGCUUACGUGAAGGUUAGCAUGGACGGCGCACCGUACCUAAGAAAAAUUGAUUUGAAACUUUACAAAACAUAUCAAGACCUCUCCGACGCCUUAAGCAAAAUGUUCAGCUCUUUUACCCUAGGUAAAUAUAAAAGACGACAAUAUCUAUAUUAAAAACUUAAACUCGUUAUUUAAUUUUUUUUAUAAAAAAUUCAGGCAACUAUGGACCACAAGGAAUGAAAGAUUUUAUGAACGAGAGUAGGUUGAUCGAUCUUUUGAACGGAUCAGAUUACGUUCCAACUUAUGAAGAUAAAGAUGGAGACUGGAUGCUUGUAGGAGACGUACCGUGGGGGUGAGUGUUAUUAUAUAUAAGCUAAUAAGCAUAUAUUAUAUGUUUACAUAAUUUAGUAUUUUUUUGUUGCAACUAAACACAUAUAUUUGCUUACGUUUCAUUUGUAUUAUUUUUUUAGGAUGUUUGUUGAUUCAUGCAAACGCAUAAGAAUAAUGAAGGGAUCAGAAGCAAUCGGACUUGGUUAGUAUUUUCAAUCCAGAAUUUACUGUGCACUCUUAAGAUUAUGUGCACUUUUGUUAAUACUAUUAUCAAUUGACUGCAGCUCCAAGGGCAUUAGAAAAGUGCAAGAACAGAAGCUGAGAGCUCUAAGAAAAUGACCGGUUCGAUCCGGUUGGAUAUCUCAAACCGAGAAAAGCCAAACCGGCUCGAAACUACUGUUACGAGCAGGGAGUUUGCGUAUAAUAUUCAUAAAUAAUAAUUAAUAUUGUGGUGUAUUACAUUUUAUAAACUCAAACCCUUUUUGUUAUAUGUAUAAUAUUAUAUACAUAUAUGAAUAUGUAUAUUAGGUGGCAUCUAUGUAUUUCCGCUUUGAACACCUUUUGUUUUUACGCAUUAUUGUAUUGUCUAUAUGGUUACGUAUCCGUAAGACAUCUUAAUGUGUUACUUUGACGUGACAAAGUAUCAUUCACGUUUAGUGUAUUACAUUACUAUUUUUCAUUUCAGCGGAUCGUUAAAUGACUUGAAAAUGUUAAUGGUCGUAAACCGAUAAAUUAAAUUUAAUAAUUUCUUCAAUCAUUUUCGUAUGUAUUUCCUAAUUCCUAUUGGUGUUCUUGAGUAUUACAUAUAUCAUUUUUGGUCUUUCUUCGUUGAACCACAUAUGAAAACUUUAAAUAGAUCAAGGUGAUGUGCGAUAGUGGACUGUGCAAGAGCAUGUGCAUAAUCCGAUAAUGUAGAGUUGUUGGGGGACAAUAUAUUAAUGAAUCACAAAUAAAAUUAACAAUGUCUUUAAUAUGCAUGCUCCAUUAUUGAUGAUGUACGCUGUCAUCCAUCGCUUAAAAAAACAAUAGGUGACAACGAUGAUAUUUGUUUUAUCUAUUUCUUGUUAAUUUAUCUUACUCUGGAUUAAUACACCAAGAACAAAUAGUAAUUUAGUUGUAAAACUAACCUAACCACAUAUAUAUAUCUGUACAAUUAGCCAACAAAAAAAGUUUUCCCGAAUAGCUGUUUCAAAAUAUAUAGCUGCUUACAGACAAAAGAAUAACUGAAAAUUAACAAAGAGAACUAGAUUCCGAUCCACCAUUUUUAAGGAUGGAUAUAUCUUUUGUUUUACACAAUUUAGAAAUUUAAUUUUUUAUAAUUUAAUUUAAUCAUAUUUGUAUUUUUUUUUGUAUAAUAUUUUUUUUAAAUAAUUAAUAAGAGAUUUUAAUAAUUAUAUUAAAAUAGUUGAAAUACACAUAUAUUGCUGUUUUAAUAGAAUAGAUUAGAUUACAUCCGCUAUAUAUUGCUGUUUUAAUAGAAUAGAUUAGGUUACAUCAAGCGGAGUAGAAAAAAAAAAUCAAGGUUUUGCUAUAAAGUUGAAUUGAGAUCAAUAUUGAUAGAUCGAGCAUAUUCCUAUAAUGAUACCAAGUACGAACCAAGGCAAGCACCGUUACAUAUGCUUCACUCAAGAAGAAAGGAGAUUAGGUUAAACUAUGAAUUGAAUAUGAAUAGAAAAGCAGAGAUAACUCUUUUAAUGUAUAUGCAUGCAAUAUCAUAGUUUAAACCAUUGCGGUAAACAUGGAUAAUUCUUUUAAUUUGGCAGAUCUGGAUUGUAGGUACAAAUAUUUUACUGAAUUUUUAUUUAAAAUGAUAAGGCUCUUGUAUACAUUUAUAGAGAGAGAGAGAUGCAUUAGACCACCAACAAAAAACUUAUCGAUCAUGAAGACCGGACUUAGCAUAACCAUCAUACUGUUAUCAUACACGGUGGCUGGUACGGACUUCCAAGCCGGAAGUCAGACUUGGGAAGCGGGGCUAGGGUCCAAGGAGCUAGUGCGUUGAACAUACGCGCCACCUACCAUUUCUAUAACCCUGAGCAGAAUAACUGGGAUCUGAUGGCCGUGACUCGUGAGUGCUUAUUGCUCCACGUGGGAUGCUGAUAAAACCAUACGCGUGGCAGUGUAGGUAUGGCUGGACCGCCUUCUGCACACCGGUUGGUCCUCAGGGUCAUGAUUCUUGCGGCAAUGCUUGAGGGUAUACGAUUAUGAUUUUGUAUAUAUUCUUUUUACUAGGGUAUGCGUUAUAUAUUUAUAACAAAAUGAUUUUAGUUAUAAAUAUCACAAACAAAACUGCAAUAGAUAAUUUAAUAUUGAAAUUUGCUUGUCAAUAUAUAUUUUUUCUUUUGAAAAUCAUAUGUAUUUUUAUAAAAAUUCAACCUGUCCCCCUUGUAUAUUAGAUAAUAUAUACGAAAGCUUAAUGACAUCAAUGUUAGUGUGUUAGUGAAUUUGAAGGUAUCAUAUAUAAGCCGGAGUUUUACUGUAACUAAUCAAAGCCGGAUUUUUUAAAGGUAAUCAUAGACUGGUUUUAAACAACCGGUGUGAUGAACUUUUGGUUCUAACUUGAUGGAGGUGAGGAACGUCAUGACGAAUGCAGUAGUAACGGUGAGAAUAGUGGACCUUUACAAAAGAUUGGAUAACGAUGGUGUUGGCUAUGAGCAAGGUCAACUCAUUGUUGACUAUGAAUUUGUUGACUGUGACGAUGAACUAAUUAAUCAGCCUGGUCAUUCUUAAAACAUCCUUGUUUCGGCCAUUGAUCGCGUUUGAUAUUAAUCGUUUUAGAGGUCAAGAUCUAUCUACACUAUAUAAUAAAAAGGCCUAUGUUGUGUUGUUCUUGGUGGUUUUCAAGAUAUUUGGCUCAAAAGAUCAAAAGAAUUUCUCACUUUUUUAUUACACAAUCCAAGACCAUAUCAAAAUCUUUUUGGUAUAUACAGUUUAUGAACAAGAAAGGCUUUAUUGUUUCUUAUCUUUUGUUCUCUUUACACAAAGUAUAUACACAGCCAUAAAGUGAUUCUCUUACUUCCCAUCCUUUAAAAGAAAAUCUUACAAUCACAUAUACACUUAUCAAUAUGUCUGCAUCACAGAACAUGCAACUGCUUGUGCCCAAUGUCUCAAUCUCUGCUUCACUUGUUGCGGAUUGUCCCCUAACAAAAAACAUCCAAAAAAACUAACACUCAGUUUCAUGACUUUCAUCAUAAAUGUUUAGCUCUCUUUUUUUACCUGGACACACGAUCUUUAAUGAAUCUGAAUCAGUUUUCUUCGGGCUACAUGGUAUAUUCAUCGAGAAAGCUGAUGCAGAUGCGCUGCUGCUACGGCUACUGCUAGGUGAAGCCAGAGGUGAGAGGUGACGAUUCACUGCAAAGUAAAGAUCAAGAGCUGGUAAUGUAUUGCAAAGCUUUUGUCCUGCUUCUUCAUUGAAACCAAAACCUAGCUCAAUGGAUCCUUUAAGCUCGUUUAAAUCCUCAUCGGUUAGUUUCUUCUGUUCACUAAGAUUGUCUGAAACGCGCAUCUUCUUCUCUUGAAUCAUUAUCAUCUGACGUUUUCUUCUUUCCCAAGCAAUGUCUCUUGGUGACUCACACAUAGAUAGUUGUUUUGUUAACCGUUGUUUUGGUUUCUGUGAGGCUAAAGGCGUUGUUGCCGCCGUUUUGACCUCUCGAAGCGCCGGUGUUGAGACCGAAAAUGUAAGGUUUUCUCUUAUUCUCACCAUCUUUUAUAUAUAUCACUUGACGUGUAUAUCAAGCUAAUAUGUUAUGAGAUGUGGCUUGUGAAUGCAAACUAGGGUUCUUCUUUCUUGGUUCUUGUGGGUUUUGUUUAAUGUAUGUUCUUUGUGAGAUG
rnacentral:lncRNA from 1 species